rnacentral:rRNA from 1 species
GAGUUUGAUCCUGGCUCAGGAUGAACGCUGGCGGCGUGCCUAACACAUGCAAGUCGAACGAAGUGCUUUUGAUGAAGCUUCGGCGGAUUUAAAAGUAUCUUAGUGGCGGACGGGUGAGUAACGCGUGGGUAACCUGCCUUAUACAGGGGGGAUAACAGUCAGAAAUGACUGCUAAUACCGCAUAAGCGCACAGAGCUGCAUGGCUCAGUGUGAAAAGCCGAGACGGUAUAAGAUGGACCCGCGUCUGAUUAGCUGGUUGGUAAGGUAACGGCUUACCAAGGCGACGAUCGGUAGCCGGACUGAGAGGUUGAACGGCCACAUUGGGACUGAGACACGGCCCAGACUCCUACGGGAGGCAGCAGUGGGGAAUAUUGCACAAUGGGGGAAACCCUGAUGCAGCGACGCCGCGUGAAGGAUGAAGUAUUUCGGUAUGUAAACUUCUAUCAGCAGGGAAGAAAAUGACGGUACCUGACUAAGAAGCCCCGGCUAACUACGUGCCAGCCGCCGCGGUAAUAC